CGGUGGCAAUCCGUACGGGUAAACCCAUACGGGUCCAUUCCAAACCUACUAGCCCCGUUUUAUUAGCGUCUCUCCGAAGCCAUCCGCAUUCUCCCGCCAUGAGCACAGAUCAAGCAAGUUACGGAAGCUACGGAAGUUCCUCCCUCCCCGUUCUCCCCAUCUCUUCCUCUCAUCCGGCUGCCGAAGCACUCCUUCUUCACUCCUACGUCGACGUCGUCUUCGGUCCCCUAAACACCCACGUCGGGUCUCGCUCCUUCCGACCUACCUUCUCUUUAGCUCCGUAUUCCUCACCCCACCACCCCGGGCUGCAUACAAUUUCUCUUUCCUCCUCGCCUCCGACAGUCUCCUGGCGCCGGGCUUGAUCCAGCCAGAGCAGGCCACGGUGUACGCAAUCAAUUUUGGGCUCGAGACCCGGGUGUCCGUUUCCAUUGUAAUGAUCCUUAUGUAUAGGAGCUUUGGGUCAGUCCACGAAGCGUAUAUUGUGCCUGAAGCGAGAGCUGUUCUCAGAGAACUUGUUGCAUCGGUUGGCAUGGGCAUAUGAUAAUAUCGACCACGCUAGCGAGUUGUUCGACAAAAUGCUGCAGAAGGAUGCUGUAUCAUGGAGUGGCAGAUGAUGUGCUGGUUGCACUGCUUGAUGCUUUUUUCAGAUACAUGGAGAUAUCAAGAUGUGAUAUCGGAUCGAUAAGGUCAACGAGUGGAGCCUGCACAUGUGGGUUAUUUUUUUUUAUUGGCAAUCAUGUUUUUGGGAUCCAGGAGAUAGAAUGAUGCAAGAUACGUCAGAACGAGUAUCAAAAUUGGUGGUGGAAGAAAGUGAUGCCACUCCAAAUUGAUGGUAUGUUUCAUCAGUUACUCAUGGGAAAUCGAUCUCGCCACACACUAAACGCAUCUAUUUAUCUUUGUAUGAGAUGCUUUUCAAAGUUUAGCUUGCUGGCUAUGCGCCAGAAGUUGGAGAGGUGCUGCUUGACUCCUAUCAAUUGGACAAAGAGACUGUUCUGUGUAUACAGAGUAAUAUAUGAGCCAAUGCCUUUGGGUUGAUAAACACAAAAUCAGGAUGCCAAUAGCAGUUAUGAAAAAUCUGACAGUUUGCGGUGACUGCCAUCAUGCUAGAAAGUCCAUCUCCAAGGUCCACGAUCGAGAGAUAAUAUAGUUCAGGACAGGAUCACGUUUCAUAGCUUCAAAGCAGAUUCUGUUCCUGCAACUUGCAAGAAUCACUGGUAAACGAUUGAAUUUGUGCCAACAAGGAGAAUCUAUUAGAUGACUAAAACUAUUCUUUCUCGUCU